CUCAAGCUAAUUACGUAUGCAUGCAACUAGGAACACAUCUUGAGCUUAUUCUGACUACCAUCUUUGAUCCUGAAACCCACGACCACAUCUCACCAUUCCAACACCGCAUCAGCUCACUCAGUACGCCAUGAGAAAGAAUAGUAAAAGCAUACUUCGAUUAAUCUUCAUAUAUGUCAAACUUGUACGUUAUACACGGAGUGACAUCCAAGCACCUGCAGAUUAGUCAGCAGAUAUUUUUUAAUUCACGUUCAGUGUGUAUUGAGUGCCCAUAGUAGCAACAAAGUUUAUAGAGAUAAUCACAAAUCCCUGUCAAAUUGACCAAUAAAGACUUUCAAGCCAAUUUUGGUGAUUACCGAGCAACAACAUGGUUUGUAGAAACAAUUAUAAGCGCACAACUGUCAACAAAAAAACUGUAGACAUCACUCAGGAUCAAUGCUGAAACAUUGGAUCGUACCCAGUUAAUAAUUAAUAAAAUAUAAAUAUACAAUAAGGAGAAAAUCAUUAUCGUAUUUAGAGAUAAAGCAAUUGAAAUCAAAUACCUAGGAUUGAAACAAAAGCUACCUUGGAGCUGAGCCAUUGCCGAGAUUGAAGCCUCAUAUGCAAAGGAGAUACAUACAAAAGAACAGAAUAAUGGCGAAACCUGCCAUGAGAGAACGUCAUUGGCAAAGUGAUCAGACCUAGAGUAGUAUACGGGGAAAUCCUGAAUAGACAAAUCAGCUGCGUGAUAGAUGGAGGGGGUGAGCACCUUGAUCAGGAACAUUGCCAACGCUUUGUAGGAAAACCUAGCCAUCAUGGUCAAAGUCAAACCUGCGCCCCGGGAGGAGAUGCGAUGGAGCAGCACAAAACAUGUUAGAGGCCGACUGAAGGAGGCGGCGUCCUGAGGAGAUGCGGCGGCGGAGCAGCAAAAACGGGAUAGACGAAGGAGUUGGCGUUUCCUUCCAGGAAACGGGAGGAGAGGGGCAACGUGGAUUGCUAUGAGAUUGAGGUAUGAUUAGAUUGAAAAGAUCUAAGACAUUCAAAGAAAAAAAG
rnacentral:lncRNA from 1 species